ACGUAGGGGGCGAGCGUUAUCCGGAUUCAUUGGGCGUAAAGCGCGCGUAGGCGGCCGCUCAAGCGGGACCUCUAAUCCCGGGGCUCAACCCCGGGCCGGGUCCCGAACUGGGCGGCUCGAGUCAGGUAGAGGCAGGCGGAAUUCCCGGUGUAGCGGUGAAAUGCGCAGAUAUCGGGAAGAACACCGAUGGCGAAGGCAGCCUGCUGGGCCUGCACUGACGCUGAGGCGCGAAAGCCGGGGGAGCGAACAG
rnacentral:rRNA from 1 species